rnacentral:rRNA from 1 species
AUGCACUGGUUUGCCUGGUGGAAGCUUUGUGUUCCUAAAGAGAGAGGAGGAAUGGGGUUUAGGGAUCCCCACUGUUUUAAUUUAGCUAUGCCAGCUAAACAAAUUUCGAGAUUACUGGAGGCUCCAAACAGCUUUUGUGCAAGGGUGUUGAGAAGUAAGUAUUAUCCUAAUGACAUUACUUGCAAUGAUCUUCCACCUCGUGAUAGUGCGUCUUGGUGGUGCUCCUGUAUGUGGCGUUGGCACAAGAGAUGUGGAGUGACUUCAGGAUUUUGUCGAGUGAGUUGCAUCGGUUGUAACUGCCGGUGA